GGUGAAAAUGAUGAAUUCUGGGGCACUGAUUCAUGUGACUUGAAAAAGCCAUCCAUUUCCUGAUUCACC
rnacentral:snoRNA from 1 species